ensembl:lncRNA
AAAAUGUUCCAGCACAAAAUAACAAGGAGUGUCUGACUCUGACAGUAAAUAUUCAUAUCAGAUGCUUUAAAUAGUGCUGCAUAUACAUAUAAGGUGUUAGUUCUACAGUUCAGGAUAGUUCAGUUCUCACCUACUCAUCAUGUUGAAGCUGAUCCUCUCUGUGACCGUCCUCUGGACAUUCUUCAGUCAAGCUGCAGCACUUGAUUGUCUAAGUUGCAAUGGUACAUGUUCAACUGAAACUACAGUUACAUGUUCUACAGAAACUAUGUGUGUAACUGCCACCAUCACAGAUGUUUUAGCUGAAGAUGAGAGUUUUUUCAAAGGAUGUGCUCCUCCCACACUGUGUCCACACAACGGCACCUUUAACUUUUCUACUGAUGUGUUUGAUUCACAUAAAAUCAUAGAUGCUGAAUGCUGCGACACAAACAACUGCAACUCAGAAACUCUGCCUGUUCCUGUUCAACAGGAAACAAAUGGACUUGAGUGUUACGUCUGUAUCUUCUUCUCUGGAUCCAACGUUUGUACAGCGUUUACUGUCCAAUGUAAAGGAGCACAGGAUCGCUGCUUUAUUGGAUCUGCCUCAACUGAUAAUGGAGUUCUACUUGUUGCUGGCUGCACAUCAACAGAUGUGUGUGAUAUUGCUCCUGAUCACGGUGUACUGCCAUUUAUGGAAGAAGUGGGAAAUCUAACCAGUGGACCAACCUGUUGUGGAACAAACCGCUGCAACGUCUAGGCAGCAACAACUGGACCAACUACAACUCCCUAACACCAGCAACUGUUCUGCUACUUAUUCUGCUACUGUUUAAUGUGAACUGGUUAAAAAAAUAUUUACUGCUUUUCUACUUGGAACUGUAAUCCAAGUCUUUAAAUCAAAAAUAAUAAUCAAUGAUUUAAUGAAUCAACUAUUAAUAUGUUAUAGAGGGUGAACAUUUAUUUUUACAGAUAGACAUUAUUUUCCAGGUUAUGUAUUUGUAAUACUCUUGACUUUCUACAUUUUGCAAAAAACAACAAUGAUAAUAAUAAUGCUGCUUUACUCUGAACAGCAGUGGUACCAAGGGUAAAUUAAAUGAUUAAUGUGUCAAACUAACUAUGUCACUUGUUAUCUGGGAAAAAUGAAAUGAAAUAAAGAUUUACUCUAACUGUAAUGUAACA